rnacentral:rRNA from 1 species
CUAUACAUGACUCUGCGCAUAUCAAUAAGCGGAGGAAAAGAAACUAACAAGGAUUCCCCUAGUAACGGCGAGUGAAGCGGGAAGAGCUCAAAUUUGAAAUCUUAAAGGGUUUCCCUUUACGAAUUGUAGUUUAAAGAAGUGUUUUCUGUUGAGGUUUUGGUAAAAGUUCUUUGGAAUAGGACAUCAUAGAGGGUGAGAAUCCCGUAUUUGACCUUUACUUUCAACUUUGUGAUACACUUUCAAAGAGUCGGAUUGUUUGGGAAUGCAGUCCAAAAUGGGUGGUAAAUUUCAUCUAAAGCUAAAUAUUGGCGAGAGACCGAUAGCGAACAAGUACCGUGAGGGAAAGAUGAAAAGAACUUUGAAAAGAGAGUUAAACAGUACGUGAAAUUGUCAAAAGGGAAGCGUUUGACACCAGUGUUGUUUUUCUGAAAAUCAAUUAAAGAACUGUUUAUGCUAAGCUGUUUAGACUUUAUCAGCUAAUCUGUUUAGUUUUGAGCUUUUCUUUAAUGCACUUUUCAGUUAACAAGUCAACAUCAAUUUCUUUUGCUGUAAAAAAGCUUGAGGAAGGUGGCUUGAGAUUCGUCUUAAGUGUUUAUAGCCUCUUGCCUAUGCAGUCGGAGAGAUUGAGGUCUGCAGCGUAGAUCCUUCGGGGCUAAAUGCAUUUGUGCUAAGUUAUAGCAUUUUAUAGACAACUUGUUGACUAUGAUUUGUCUUGUAGCUUACUCGCUUAUGUUAUUUUACCUACGCUUAGGAUGUUGAGCGCAUGUCUCUUCU